rnacentral:rRNA from 1 species
UACGAAGGGUGCAAGCGUUGCUCGGAAUUAUUGGGCGUAAAGCGCACGUAGGCGGCUUUGCAAGUCCGAUGUGAAAUCUUAUGGCUUAACCAUAAAAGUGCAUCGGAAACUGCAGAGCUUGAGUACUUAAGAGGAUCGCGGAAUUCCCGGUGUAGAGGUGAAAUUCGUAGAUAUCGGGAGGAACACCAGUGGCGAAGGCGGCGAUCUGGGAAGAUACUGACGCUGAGGUGCGAAAGCGUGGGGAGCAAACAGG